UACGGAGGGUGCAAGCGUUGCUCAGAAUUAUUGGGCGUAAAGGGUAGGUAGGUGGUCUUAUUUGUCUGGGGUGAAAGCCUUGGGCUUAACCCAAGAAGUGCCUUAGAAACGGUAAGACUAGAGUCCUGGAGAGGGUCGUGGAAUUCCCGGUGUAGCGGUGAAAUGCGUAGAGAUCGGGAGGAACACCAGGGGCGAAAGCGGCGACCUGGACAGGCACUGACACUCAACUACGAAAGCGUGGGGAGCAAACAGG
rnacentral:rRNA from 1 species